rnacentral:rRNA from 1 species
CCUACGGGAGGCAGCAGUGAGGAAUAUUGGUCAAUGGCCGAGAGGCUGAACCAGCCAAGUCGCGUGAGGGAAGACGGCCCUACGGGUUGUACACCUCUUUUGUCGGGGAGCAAAGCGAGUCACGUGUGACUCAUUGAGAGUACCCGAAGAAAAAGCAUCGGCUAACUCCGUGCCAGCAGCCGCGGUAAUACGGAGGAUGCGAGCGUUAUCCGGAUUUAUUGGGUUUAAAGGGUGCGCAGGCGGAAUGUAAAGUCAGCGGUAAAAUUUCGGGGCUCAACCCCGUCGUGCCGUUGAAACUGGCGUUCUUGAGUGAGCGAGAAGUAUGCGGAAUGCGUGGUGUAGCGGUGAAAUGCAUAGAGAUCACGCAGAACUCCGAUUGCGAAGGCAGCAUACCGGCGCUCAACUGACGCUCAUGCACGAAAGCGUGGGUAUCGAACAGGAUUAGAUACCCGAGUAGUC